UGCUGCUACAGGAAUAGCUGCGAAGUGGUA
rnacentral:piRNA from 1 species